GACAGAGGGGGCAAGCGUUGCUCGGAAUUACUGGGCGUAAAGCGCACGUAGGCGGCUCUUUAAGUCGGGGGUGAAAUCCUGGAGCUCAACUCCAGAACUGCCUUCGAUACUGUAGAGCUUGAGUUCGGGAGAGGUGAGUGGAACUGCGAGUGUAGAGGUGAAAUGCGCAGAUAUUAGGAAGAACACCGGUGGCGAAGGCGGCUCUCUGGAACGGUACUGACGCUGAGACGCGAAAGCGUGGGGAGCGAACAGG
rnacentral:rRNA from 1 species